AACGAACGCUGGCGGCAUGCCUAACACAUGCAAGUCGAACGAGACCUUCGGGUCUAGUGGCGCACGGGUGCGUAGCGCGUGGGAACCUGCCCUUAGGUUCGGAAUAACUCCCCGAAAGGGGUGCUAAUACCGCAUAAUGUCUUCGGACCAAAGAUUUAUCGCCUUUGGAUGGGCCCGCGUUGGAUUCGCUGGUUGGUAGGGUAAAAGCCUACCAAGGCGACGAUCCAUAGCUGGUCUGAGAGGAUGAUCAGCCACACUGGGACUGAGACACGGCCCAGACUCCUACGGGAGGGAGCAGUGGGGAAUAUUGGACAAUGGGCGAAAGCCUGAUCCAGCAAUGCCGCGUGAGUGAUGAAGGCCUUAGGGUUGUAAAGCUCUUUUACCCGGGAUGAUAAUGACAGUACCGGGAGAAUAAGCUCCGGCUAACUCCGUG
rnacentral:rRNA from 1 species